AGCAGCCGCGGUAAUUCCAGCUCCAAUAGCGUAUAUUAAAGUUGUUGCAGUUAAAAAGCUCGUAGUUGAACUUCAGACCUGGCUGGGCGGUCCGCUUAACGGCGUGUACUGUCUGGCUGGGUCUUACCUCUUGGUGAGCCGGCGUGCCCUUUAUUGGUGUGCGUCGGGGAACCAGGACUUUUACCUUGAGAAAAUUAGAGUGUUCAAAGCAGGCCUAUGCCUGAAUACAUUAGCAUGGAAUAACGAAAUAGGACGUUUGAUUCUAUUUUGUUGGUUUCUAGGAUCGACGUAAUGAUUAAUAGGGAUAGUUGGGGGCAUUAGUAUUCAAUUGUCAGAGGUGAAAUUCUUGGAUUUAUUGAAGACUAACUACUGCGAAAGCAUUUGCCAAGGAUGUUUUCAUUAAUCAAGAACGAAAGUUAGGGGAUCGAAGACGAUCAGAUACCGUCGUAGUCUUAACCAUAAACCUAUGCCGACUAGGGAUCGGAUGAUGUUAAUUUUUUAUGUACUUCAUUCGGCGCCU
rnacentral:rRNA from 1 species